rnacentral:lncRNA from 1 species
CUGAGGCUCCAAGUUGGGAGUGGUGGCGCACAGGAGUGGUGGCGCACACCUUUAAUCCUAGCACUUGGCGGGCAGUGGCAGAGCGUGUCGGACCCCCCUGGAACCAGAGUUAUAGAUUGAAGUGGGAACUUAAGGGUUUUUUUGGAAAGUCGUUCAGAUGGUGUUUUGCUGGAGUGAACACGUGAAAGAACAUUUCAUUAAAGUGGACACAGGUGUGAAAGGCUAAGGCCGACUUGUGAAGGAAUGUUUGGCUGAAGCAGACCGAUGAAAGGACAUUCUGCUAAGGCAAACACAAGAAUGGACACGUGAUAAAGGAUUCUGGACACGUGAUGAGGGAUUCUGGACACGUGAUGAAGGAUUCUUUGCUAACAGCACGCAUGCGUCGGUCCACCUCACAUUGCGUAGUUGGGACUCCACGGAGAGAAAUGAACCAGUAAACCUCUGAUGGUCUGCUACAGUUUCUUGCUGCUUCUGUGGACUUGGGCUGAUUGGCGGAGUAACGUCAGCUGAGACAGACUCACGUGCUGAGGCAGGACCCAUGGAGGACCUGCCAUGUUUAGAGGGUACAGACAGUACUCAGCAGUGACGGAGGCUGAGCUUGGCUUGCUUACAGAGCCAACCAUGCAACACUUGUGGGUCUCGCCUCUUUGCUGAUCUUCACUUCCCUAAGAGAGGCACAGCCGAGAACUUCUGGCCUUCUUCUUGGUCCCUCCGGCUGACUAGAGCUGAGGCACCCCCGGCUGUCUCUGCUAGGUAGUGUUACUGUUGCUGAUUCCUGUUUGCUACCCGACUCUACUGAACUAGAUGCUGGCGUGGUGUAUCGGUGAAGUGUUUGCCAGUGGAUCGAGCUGCUGCUACUAACCUGGGAACUGAACAGCUGAUUUCCAGACAGCACAGAACACCUGGAGUGGAUUACAGUUCUUCUCAUGCAGUUGUGUGUCUGGAAUGGAAACCCUGACAUCUAAGGCAGGACAUUUCAGAAGAACUGGGAUGGCUCUUGGCAUCAUUGGGAGAACCUGAAAGGGAAUACUAAGGGGACAGAGCUACAGAAUUUCCCAUCUGAGGAACUUGUACUUGUGGGGAAGUUGAUCAGAAACACCAGAGUCUGAAUUCUUCAGGCAGCUGAAUCUUGGUUCAAAGUAAGUUAAAAAGAAUUACAUAGAAGAGAAAUUCAACUCUGAAAUUCAAAACAUAUGUCAUUGAAUACCCUGAUGUAAACUUAGGAAAACAAAUGAAAGGACAGACUUUUUUCUAGUUAUUUGUUGACAUUCAGUCAUUCAGUCAUUCAUUUAUUUCUGGGGAGCUUCAGGCAGCUGAGGAGAUUUGUACACUGUCUUGGGUGAACAGACUACAACCAGGAACCAAGAAGCAUGUGGGGAACAUGUUGCAGGUUCAGCUUCAGAACACAUUGAGUCAUUUCAACAAAAACUGUGAUAAUUAAAGAGGAAAAAUUACAUUUAGCCCAGAUAUAAAAUGGGGAUAAGACUGAGCUCUUUUGGAAGUCAAUGCCAGAGAACACUCAGGUAAGAUAUCUGCCUACCAGGGAGGAAAAUAAACAAAGGGUGGCUGUCUGCUCCUAUGUGUGCAAAUACAGGUGUGACUCAUAAAUCAACAUCAGUUGUCACUGUAAAAGGAAAGGUGCCCAAAAGUGUGAAAGAAGACACAAGUACAUCAUCCGUGAUAUAUAAACCUGGUAAAGACGUUUGGUUCACAAGAGAAUUGUUUAGAAUGGUUCUUUCAAAAUUUUGCUCAGCAUUUCCAACUUAAUGAUCUAGGAUUUCAUGAGGAAGAUAGGGCAUUGGUACUUCUGGACAACUCUCCAGUUCACCCUUCUGCGGAACCAUCAGCCAGUGAGGAUGGUAGAAUAAGAUACACGUUCUCUCCCCCUAAUACUUCUACUUUGAGUCAACCAGUGAAUCAAGCUGUAACCUUGAGCUGCAAAGAACUUUAGAGAUGGAAACAACUUGAAGAGAGUCUUAGAAACUUUGGAGAAAGUGAGGAUGAACAGGAAAAAGAAAGAGAAGGGAAUUUCCAAGAUUAAGAUGUAGAAUGUGAAAAGUGCACUUUUUAACUGGGAUGAAGUAAAACAAUUAACAGUAGCAGACGCAUGGGAAAUCUCCUUUACAAAGAAGAAACUGUGUGACCUUCAAGGGCAAGAGCGUGGGAGCUAGAGGGAUCCUUGAGAAAGGUGCAGAAACCAAGCUGGGCAUGGAGGAUAUGGUUAAAUGAAGAUGAUGAAGAGAAAGGUUGUUUCUCCCCGCCUCUCUCCACCCUUCACCCCUGAAAACCCAAAAGGUGAGACAGUAAAGGAAGCUGUGCAAAGGACGGAGCUGGAAAUUGGACAGGAAUUUAAGUUCCACACUGGACUACAUUCUUAACUUUCCUGAUGCCAUACCUGAAUUUUAAAUACUUCAUUUCACACUAAGAGAUGCAACAAAAAUAUAGCCAAGAAAGAACUGGAGAGUAAAAUCCUUUUAAGAAUUGGUAGGUUUUUGAAAACUAGACUUCCUAAUAUUAAGGAUACUGUCAAUAUGCCUUCAACUUCUGGUUCUAGUAAUCAGACUAUGUAAAGGUAAUUGGAAUAUAUGAUACUGUUGAUACCGUUUUUAAUCAAACAUUAUUUUCAUAUCAAUGCUCACUUAUGCAUUGGCUAGAAUAUAGUUUGAAAAUAAAUGUGAAUUCCCAUAAAUGUAUGAAUAUCAUUUUCUAUUUACAAAUCAAGGAUAUGAAUAAUGAAUUAUCAUCCUAAAUUAUAUAAAUUGUAAUGGCUAUGCUAAAAACAUAGGUUUAAAUUCUACCAUGUAAUUUUGGCUAAUACACAUUAGUACUAUGCACCAAGCAAGACCUUUGUUUCAUUCUCCAGAAUUAAAAAAUAGUAACGUACGUCACAUAAAGGAGGAAGGGGCUCCUCCUAAGCCCCUAGAAGGAACUCAUAAUGAGCUAAGCUGGCCACGAACAGAUUUAUGACUGCCUACAUGGUCUUAUUACCCAUAGGGAAGUACAACCAAAGAGAAUUAAAAUAUUACAAGACGGGAGCUAGACAGUUGGCUCAGUGGUUAAGAACACUGGCUGGGGCUGGAGAGAUGGCUCAGCGGUUAAGAGCACUGACUGCUUUUCCAGAGGUCCUGAGUUCAAUUCCCAGCAACCACAUGGUGGUUCACAACCAUCUGUAAUGAGGUCUGAUGCCCUCUUCUGGUGCGUCUGAAGAUAGCGUACAGUGUACUCAUAUACAUAUAAUAAAUAAAUAUUAAAGAACAUUGGCUGUUCUCCAGGUGAUCCACGUUCAAUUUCUAGUCCCUAUAUGGUAGUCCGUUCUAGCCCAGGGGAUCUCAGCUCCCCCUGCACCAUGCCUGCCUGAAUGCUGCCAUGUUUCUGCCUUGAUGACAAUGGACUGAACCUCUGAACCUGUAAGCCAGCCAAGAAUUAAAUGUUGUCUUUAUAAGAGUUGCCUUGGUUAUGGUGUCUCUUCACAGCAGUAAAACCCUAAGACAGAAGUUGCUACCAGGGACUGGGGUGUUGCUGCGAUAGACCUGACCAUGCUUUUGUUUGGAAGAAUGUUGAUUUGGGGGGGACUUUGGAUUUAGAAAGCCAUAGAAUGUUUUAAGUGGAGCUUAAUGAGCCAUCCUAGUAGGAAUAUGGAAGGCUUUGUUGUUGUGAGUUAUUUCAAUUGUGCAGACCUGGCCCAAGAGGUUUCAGUGGAGAACAACUUCAGUAUGUGGCCUAGAGACUAUUUUUGUAGUAUUUUAGUGACGAACAUGGCUACUUUUGGCCCUAGUCUGAGGAGUCUGCCUGAGGCUAAGGAGAAGAGACUCAGAUAAAUUGCACUGACAAAGGAAGUCUCAAAAAAGCCCAGCAGAGACUUUGUUCUCUGGUUACGUCUGAUAAAGAGCAUUUUGAACAAGCAUAGCAAGCUUAGAAAGGAAAAAUAUAUAAGGUAGAGUUUGAGUAUUAAAGGGGCACCAGGAAGUGAAAUAGAACUGAAUCCUGUGUUCAAGGGUAUUAAAUUGAAUUAACGGAGUGGUGACCUUGGGGCAAGAUCCUACCCAGCUAAAUUUAGAUCCAGGCUUGGUGCUACAUACUUUUAAUCCCAGGAGAUAAAGCCAAGCAGAUCUCUAAGUUCAAGGCCCAUCUGAGACAGACGGAGUUAUAGGUGAAGAAAAGCUUAAAUUCAGGCACAGUGGUACACACUUUGAUCCCAGUAGCCAAGCAUGCAGAUCUCUGAGUUCACGGUCAGUCUACAGAGCAAGAUCCAGGACAGCCAAGCUUAGGCAGUGAAGGAGUUGGAAAAGAGGAAGCUAGUGACUGAACAAGGGGGCCAUGUUCCAGCUCCAGCAAGCAGCAGAACACAGCAGUUUCAGCCAUGUGGCUCUGGCUUUAGAGCCAAGAAUAGAAGGGACUACAGGGACAGUUAAUGCUGGUUAACUGGAGCUAAGAAAUUAGUGGUGAUUAAGAAGAGAGCAGCAUCACUGUGAUGAAAUUUUCUGGGAAGUUAUUUUCUGAGAACACAAAGAAGCUGUGUUCCAGAGAUAGCCAAGGUUGUACCUCGUGCUGCAGCUGUACUUGGUAAUGUGUAAGAAUCACCCAGGUGGUACUGGGUUUGAAGGCAUGAAGUGGUCAUGAAGAGCAGAAGGCUUGGUACUGAGAGGCCAUGAAAGGCCGUCGGUGAAAGAAAGUGCAGCCUCAGUUGUAGUUGAUGGCCCAGGACUGAAGGGGUCAUGCAAAGGAGUUGAGGCUUGACACCAGGAAGAGAGCCUGAGAGAGGCUUUUGGUGAAGUAAGUCGAGUGUAUUAUAGAUGCCAGUACCGUGGGAUGAUCACCAAGAGCAGCAGUGGUAGUGGACUGGAUCAACCUGAGCUUAGAGGGCAGGGCUGCAGAGGUGACUCAGCUCUUUGGAGCCCUUUGGAGCCGCCCAGACCAUGUAUAGAUCCCCGACACUGAAACAAGAAGCUUUAAUAUUGAAGUUGCCUUGGAGAGCCCAAGAUGCUAAAGAUGCCCAAGUCGUAAGAUACCUGCAGAGGAGAGCUGCUGACAGGGAGUGGAACCAGCCCAGGGCAGAGAAGUUUGUUGCAGUCAACAAAGAUGAGAAAGGAGCUGGAGAUCUGAAGACGGCUGUGACGUCAGACAUGGAGACGCAGGGUUUGGAGUUUGCCCAGCUGGAUUCCUGUCUUGCUUUGGGGAUUGCAGUUAAAUGAUUGGAUGGAUCUCAGAAGAGAUCUUAAACUUUGGACUUUUAACAUUGUUGAGAGUGCUAUAGACUAUGGAAGUUGGACUAAAUGUAUUUUGUAUUAGACUGUGUUUAGGUAUGGCCCCCAUAGAUUCAUGUAUUUGAACAAGUCUAUAGAGGCCAGGGAGUAGAAUAUGAUGGUUUGUAUAUGCUUGGCCCAGGGUGUGACACUAUUAGGAGAUGUGGCCUUGUUGGAAUAGGUGUGUCAUUGUGGGUGUGAGCUUUAAUAAGCCUUGUCCUAGCUGCCUGGAAGCUGGUAUCUGCUAGCAGCCUUCAGAUGAACAAGUAGACCUCUCAGCUCCUCUUGUACCAUGCCUGCCUGGAUGCUGCCAUGCUCCUGCCUUGAUGAUAAUGGACUGAACCUCUGAACCUGUAAGGCAGCCUCAAUUAAAUGCUGUCCUUAUAAAA